AUGAACGCUGGCGGCGUGCUUAACACAUGCAAGUCGAACGGUGAACACGGAGCUUGCUCUGUGGGAUCAGUGGCGAACGGGUGAGUAACACGUGAGCAACCUGCCCCUGACUCUGGGAUAAGCGCUGGAAACGGCGUCUAAUACUGGAUAUGUGACGUGAUCGCAUGGUCUGCGUCUGGAAAGAAUUUCGGUUGGGGAUGGGCUCGCGGCCUAUCAGCUUGUUGGUGAGGUAAUGGCUCACCAAGGCGUCGACGGGUAGCCGGCCUGAGAGGGUGACCGGCCACACUGGGACUGAGACACGGCCCAGACUCCUACGGGAGGCAGCAGUGGGGAAUAUUGCACAAUGGGCGCAAGCCUGAUGCAGCAACGCCGCGUGAGGGAUGACGGCCUUCGGGUUGUAAACCUCUUUUAGCAGGGAAGAAGCGAAAGUGACGGUACCUGCAGAAAAAGCGCCGGCUAACUACGUG
rnacentral:rRNA from 1 species